rnacentral:sRNA from 1 species
CAGUUUCUGUACUAUAUUGGUAUGAGAAGCUCCCAGUAGCAGCUGGUCCACUUAUGUGUCCGCCGCUUACUGCGGGAAUCUGGGAUGAGAGGUCUUAUGACCUCUUUUUUUUUUU